rnacentral:rRNA from 1 species
UACGUAGGUGGCAAGCGUUGUCCGGAAUUACUGGGUGUAAAGCGCGUGUAGGCGGCAGACCAAGUCGGCGGUGAAAGCGCCCGGCUCAACUGGGCGAGGUCCGUGGAAACUGGUCAGCUGGAGGACGGUAGAGGCGAGUGGAAUUCCCGGUGUAGUGGUGAAAUGCGUAGAGAUCGGGAGGAACACCUGUGGCGAAGGCGGCUCGCUGGCCGGUC